rnacentral:rRNA from 1 species
UACAGAGGUCCCAAGCGUUGUUCGGAUUCAUUGGGCGUAAAGGGUGCGUAGGUGGCGCCGUAAGUCAGGUGUGAAAUCUCGGGGCUUAACUCCGAAACUGCAUUUGAUACUGCGGUGCUUGAGGACUGGAAAGGAGACUGGAAUUUACGGUGUAGCAGUGAAAUGCGUAGAGAUCGUAAGGAAGACCAGUGGCGAAGGCGGGUCUCGUGGACAGUUCCUGACACUGAGGCACGAAGGCCAGGGGAGCAAACGGG